rnacentral:rRNA from 1 species
CCGGCACGGGUGGAGUAACACGUAUGCAACCUGCCUGCCACAGCCGGAUAAUCGGGAGAAAUUCCGUCUAAUACGGCAUAAUGCAUCGACGGGACAUCCUGUUGGUGCCAAAGGUUAAUUCCGGUGGCGGAUGGGCAUGCGUCGCAUUAGUUAGUUGGCGGUGUAACGGACCACCAAGACGACGAUGCGUAGGGGUUCUGAGAGGAAGGUCCCCCACACUGGUACUGAGACACGGACCAGACUCCUACGGAAGGCAGCAG